rnacentral:rRNA from 1 species
AAGAACUUAACAGGAUUCCCCUAGUAACUGCGAGUGAAGCGGGAAAAGCUCAAAUUUAAAAUCUGGCGGUCUUCGGCCGUCCGAGUUGUAAUCUGGAGAAGCGUCUUCCGCGCUGGACCGUGUACAAGUCUCUUGGAACAGAGCGUCAUAGAGGGUGAGAAUCCCGUCUUUGACACGGACUACCAGUGCUUUGUGAUGCGCUCUCGAUGAGUCGAGUUGUUUGGGAAUGCAGCUCAAAAUGGGUGGUAAAUUCCAUCUAAAGCUAAAUAUUGGCGAGAGACCGAUAGCGAACAAGUACCGUGAGGGAAAGAUGAAAAGCACUUUGGAAAGAGAGUUAAACAGUACGUGAAAUUGCUGAAAGGGAAACGCUUGAAGUCAGUCGCGUUUGCUAGAACUCAGCCUUGCUUCUGUGAGGUGCACUUUCUAGUGAACGGGCCAGCAUCAGUUUCGGCUGCCGGACAAAGGCCUCGGGAAUGUGGCACCUUCGGGUGUGUUAUAGCCCUUGGUCGCAUACGGUGGCUGGGACUGAGGAUCUCAGCACGCCUUCAUGGCGGGGGUUCGCCCACCUUCGUGCUUAGGAUGCUGGCGUAAUGGCUUUAAACGACCCGUCUUGAAACACGGACCAAGGAGUCUAACAUGCCUGCGAGUGUUUGGGUGGUAAACCCGAGCGCGUAAUGAAAGUGAAAGUUGGGACUUCUGUCGUGGAAGGCACCGACGCCCCGGACCAGACCUUCUGUGACGGGAUCCGCGCUAGAGCAUGUAUGUU